UGAUCCUGCCAGUAGUCAUAUGCUUGUCUCAAAGAUUAAGCCAUGCAUGUCUAAGCACAUACCUUAAUACGGUGAAGCCGCGAAUAGCUCAUUACAACAGCCAUCGUUUACUAGAAUAUCGUUUUCCUACUUGGAUAACUGUGGCAAUUCUAGAGCUAAUACACGCAUCAAAGCUCUGCCCGUAAGGAAAGAGCGCAUUUAUUAGAAUAAAAACCAAUCGGGCUUUAGUCCGUUAUUUGGUGAAUCUGAAUAACUUUGCCGAUCGCACAGUCCUAGCACUGGCGAUGUAUCUUUCAAGUGUCUGCCUUAUCAACUUUCGAUGGUAGGUUAUACGCCUACCAUGGUAUUAACGGGUAACGGAGAAUAAGGGUUCGACUCCGGAGAGGGAGCCUGAGAAACGGCUACCACAUCCAAGGAAGGCAGCAGGCGCGCAAAUUACCCACUUCCAGAACGGAGAGGUAGUGACGAAAAAUAACGAGACAGUCCUCUUCGAGGUCUGUCAUCGGAAUGGGUACAAUUUAAAUCCUUUAACGAGGAUCUAUUGGAGGGCAAGUCUGGU
rnacentral:rRNA from 1 species